rnacentral:rRNA from 1 species
UACGAAGGGAGCUAGCGUUGCUCGGAAUUACUGGGCGUAAAGGGCGCGUAGGCGGAUGUUUAAGUCAGAGGUGAAAGCCCAGGGCUCAACCCUGGAAUUGCCUUUGAUACUGGGCAUCUUGAGUAUGGGAGAGGUGAGUGGAAUUCCCGGUGUGGCGGUGAAAUGCGUAGAUAUCGGGAGGAACACCUGUGGCGAAAGCGGCUCACUGGACCACAACUGACGCUGAGGCACGAAAGCUAGGGGAGCAAACAGG